rnacentral:lncRNA from 7 species
ACAUCUGUGUUAUGUUACUGUCUGAGGCCUGAACUUCCACUGAAUCUAAACUUCCUGUCCGUCCAGAGGUCCUUGCAUUUUGAGUGUAGUCUAGAGUGACAUAAACCAACUGCUCUGUCUGGCAAUGAGAAUCGAGUGUGGGUUUAGGGUGACUUGAAAUCCAGCCCUGUCUCUCCAGGCAGUUUGGAUGGGUGCUUUUCAGAUUUAUCUGAAUUGCAUGAGGACAAGAUGGCAGCAGAGGAGCACUCUGACAAAAUGACAUCUGACAUGGAAGCACAGAUAAAGCAAAGGUGUGGAACUGAAUUGGUCCAUGCAGACAUUCGUCGAUGCUUGUUGAACAUUUAUGGAAACCAGACAGUGCAUAUGAGCACAACGAGGAGAUGGUUGGCGUGUUACAGCAGUAAUGACAGCAACAUGAAAGACAAGCCACAUUCCAGACAAUGCACAGCUGUCACACUACAAAAUGAAGAGCAUCUCAAUCAGUUCACCCACAUGUUUUUGGCAGAUUACGACCAGGGAAUUGUGUAUGGAGCUGAAUAUUGAUGUCAAUGCUUUGGAAAUGGUGGCAGCAAUGUUGGAAUAUCACAAAGAUAGUGCCAAGUGGUUUCUAUGAAUACUCAAGUGGGAACGGAAAGAGCAACAUAUGCAAGUUUGUCAGGACCUAUGGAACAAUACGAGAAUAGAGGUAACAGUUUUCAGAACACUUGUGUGCAAACAUAAUGGAACAGGCAAGAGUUAGUAGUCUUGCAUAAGGUGGUCUUGUAUGCCCGCCCCCCACAACCACAGUGCUCCAUGACCACCAUGUGAAGGCGGAAGCAUGGCCGGUAUGGCAAGUGCAUGGCAUGUGAUACUGAACUCUGUCCACCUGGCAACUUCUCCAGGCCCAAUUGGAAGAAACCAUCGUAUGGCAUAAAAGUCAUUGCCAACCAUACAGCCAGCAGCACUCACCCCAUCACAUCCUCAACCACCCUGGAAGGGGAAGAAGGAUGGACCCUCUGGACUUGCUUUUCUUCCUUUUUUUUUUUUUAUCUCUUUCCUUUUCUUCUGUUUUCUUUUUUCUCUCUCAUUUGCCCUUCUUUUAAUAAAUAAAGGCACGUUCUUGCUUGAU